UCUCCAGUAGCCGGCCCUAAUUUUUUCUCCCCUGCGUCGGCUCCUGCGUGCCCUAUAAAUUCUCGCGUAACCCUACCCUCUGCAUCGCGUUUCAUCUGCCCACGUAGCCGGCCCUAGCUUUUCCUCGCGCCCCUGCUCUCCCUCCUCCUGCGCAUCCACGAAACAGGUGCUGCCGCCGGCCACCAGGAGCGUCGUCGCCCUUCUGUGCAUCUCCUGCCGCAACACUGCCAACCCCUGCCGGCCUCCUCAUCGCCUUGCCCAGGCCGCUCCUGCCCCUGCGCGCUGCCAGCAGCAGCUGCUGCAGCCGUUCCCUUUUCCCCCGUCCUCCUGCACGGCCCCUACAUCGCCAUCACCGUCACCCCUGGCCCCUGCUGCUCGCGCCCCUGCUGCUGCUGCCAGCGCCGCCGUCGCCUAGCCCCCGGCGUCGCCCUGUACCCGUGCUGCGCUGCGCGCCCUGCACUCCCCCCCCCUGCACCACGCUGCCCUACAGCCCCGCUGUCAUCCCCUGCAAGCUGCACGCACAGAAUCGCCCAAAAAUAGAUGAACAGAACAGACCUGACAUUGCUCUUUUCUCUCGCGAAAUUCGAUCGCCUCGGUGCAUCUCCGCUGCGGGAAGCUCCCGUGCAGCAGCCAUGGAGGAAACUCGAAAUUUUGCAAUCCAGUCCCUGGAGAAAGGUGUAAUCUUCCUGUUCUUUCCUGUGUCUUGCAGAUUUCGCGGAAAACCCCUUGGAUCUUUUCCAUCUUCUCAAUCCAGCCCCACCAUGGAAUUUUUCAGAUCUAACCCUAAUAUUUUCAAUAUUUAAGAAGCGCGAUCCAAGAGCUUUAAAGAUCUA